rnacentral:rRNA from 1 species
AUGCUAGGGUGCGAACCAGCGCUCGUCGCCAUGGCCGCCCGCAGCUGCGCUGCUCUCCAUGGCCGCCGCAGCAAGAUUUUGCUACAAUCAUGUUUGUUUUUGCUGGAACUAGCCCAUGUUUUUGCUGCCAUUCACCCACCCAAAAUCUGCUACCACGGUGAUCUUUGCUGGAACCGGCGAAUCAUUUUGCUACAACCGUUUUGGUUUUUGUUACUACCGGCGCUUUGUGGAUUUUUGCUAUAUCCAUCUCCAUGGCAUGUGACCCCCGUGACUCUGUUUUUUUGCUUCAACCAUUCAUUGUUUUUGCUGGAACCAUCCAACAUUUUUGCUGGAACUAGCGAUUUCCAUGGAUGCGAGUACAGAAGCAUUUUUCUUCAUUGGGAUCAGCAUGUCAUUUUUUAUACAACCGGCGAGUAG